CAUACAGUAUUUGGUACCAUGUUUGUUGAUGGACAUAGCAGCCAUGCUGUGUGCUGUGUACCAGGCUUCACAUGCGUGCCUGGAUGUUGGAAGUUGGCACAUCUUGUCAGUAUGAAAUUUUAGACAGACAAUCGCUUUAAAAACCACACCAUACAUCCCUAUUAAAUUGCUUUUGCAGCACACAUGACGCUCAAGUAAUAAAUGUACAUCACAUGCAAGUUGCUCUGAUAAACAGUUUGCCAAAAAGCUCCCCAUACACAAUAUGUAAAUAUUUUCAAUAUUUUCAUUCUAUGCAGGUGUACUUCUGUUGUGAAAAAAAAUCUUGAAUAUGCAUUGGUGUAUGUACAUAAGUAGGCAAUAUUCUAGACUACACUUAUCUUAAAAUACUUGUGUACUAUGAACUAUGAAUCAAGUAGUACCUAGUUUAUACACCAAGUAAACUGCCCUCUGUUUCUGAUUCAAAGUCAGUGUGGAGUAGACGCCAUCUUCAUUACUGUCACAACAUCUGAUUAAUUAUUUUCAAACAAAAUUGAGUACAGACAGUUGCAAUUUAAGAAAUACUCAUGAAUCAAUAUUUCUGUGUAUUAAUUUUACAAUAUGUCUUUAAUCAUCACAUACUUAACAAAUAUUUUUUGCCAGAUUAGGUCUUUAAAUAGUAGAUGGACUGCCAUAUAUGUAGUAAUGUAGCAACAUAAUAUAUUGGAAAUGUGUUAAUUACUUUGUUUCAUUUCAGGUCCAAAAAAACUUUCUGCCUUGGGCUAUAUGCCCAUAUUAUUUAUCAGCCAGAGGCACAAGGGCACAGGCAAGUUGAUGGCAGAUGUAGUCACGCAUCUGCCACCGACGCAAAACAACACACGUUUCUUAACCAGCAUGAAGAGGGCAUAUGACUUCAUAAUCAAACUGGAUGGUAAGAUAAGUUUUAUGUAUAGUUCAUUAGUGGUUGUCGUUGAUUUCUUUGACAAUGUGUACUGAAUUUAUAUUUUUGCUAACUUCACAACAGAUGUGCCCCAGCCCCAGCCCCAGCAAGACCAGCCCCUCCACCUAGACCAACCCCUACCCCAAGACCAGCCCCUGCCCCUAGACCAGCUAAUCCCACAAGACCAGCCCCUAGACCAGCCCCAGAAAGACCAGCCCCUAGACCAGCCCCAGCAAGACCAGCCCCUGCCCCUAGACCAGCUAAUCCCACAAGAUCAGCCCCUAGACCAGCCCCAGCAAGACCAGCCCCUGCCCCUAGACCAGCUAAUCCCACAAGACCAGCCUACCCCAACAGACCAGCAAAUUAUUAAACUUGAACUAUUUACGAUCGACUCACAGGCUCAGCAGCAUGUGGAGCCUCUACCACCCAGGAAAAGACAAACCCCACUAUCCACCCCGGGCCUACCAUCCACCCCAGGCCAAGGCAAACGAGCCCCACCAUCCAUCCAACCUCAACUAAAGAAAAAGACAAACCACAGGUAAAGGAGCCACACAAGCCCCACCCUCUACCCUGGCCAAAAAGAAGAAAACAAAAAGUUGCAAAUGCAGUCGACAGACAAUUUAUCCAUACGAUAAAAUAUUGGAAAGACGGAUGAAUGGGGUAAGAUGUAGAACCAUAUUUUUCAUUAGGCUGUCUGAUUAUCUCUUGACUCAUGUCUGUCUCAUCUUUCAAUCCACAUGUGACAAAACAGUAACACUGAGCAGUAGGUAUCAAACUUUUUCAACUAUCAACCCUCUCACAAGUGCUACCCCUUAGGAAAAAAAAGUAUACUUCAAGUUAUUUUAUGAAGUAUACUUAAGUAAUGUUCAAGUAUAUUUUUAAGUAUACUUUAUGGAGUAAGUAUACUAGUAUCAAUGUGUACUAUUUCAAUACUGCUUGGGGCUAAAUUGGC
ensembl:lncRNA